NNNNNNNNNNNNNNNNNNNNNNNNNNNNNNNNNNNNNNNNNNNNNNNNNNNNNNGGCCCCGGCGGCCGUGCUUGGAGUUGUUGUGGACGAACAUGUUGUCGGACACGGCCAGGACGUGGCCGUCCACAUUCACCGUCGUCGACACGACCACCUGCGGGAGAGGGGCGGAGGGGAGCGCAGGGUCAGGGCUGCCCCCUGCCCGCCUGCUCCCGCAGGGUCCUUCCUCCUUCCACGGACAAGGCGGCCCCACCGGAGGGUCCUCAGCCCCUCUUUGUCCCUAGUGUCCCCCCACACCUCUGGGCAUCCCGGGAUCGUCACGGCCCUGCAUUGCCUUCUGAACUGCUCCGUCCCUGGACGGGGCAGCCUUGCUGGUGGGGUGUGUGCAAAUACACACGUGUGCAGCUGUGUAAUUGUGUGUGCGUGUGGAUGCACGUGGGCAUACAUAAGCAGCUGUGUGCACACAUGCAUGUGUGCAUGCAUGCGUGUGUGUGUUUGCGUGCCCGUGUAUGUGGGGGCUUGUGUGCACGCAUAAACAUCUGCAGACACGUGUGCAUUUGUGUGCACACGACAGAGAACAACACGGUGCUGCAAGAUCCCAGCAUCGGCCAGGGCACUGCCUUGGUGUCACCACGCCACCAGGCUGGAGGGCACCGGGCACGGGGUGGGGGGCCCCCCACCCCGUGCCCUGCAACCGCAGCCCACGCCCCCACGCCUCCCCUCGGUCGCUCCCUCCGGCGUGGAGGUGGGUGGACUUGGCUGUUCUCCCGGAGCUGCUUGGUGCUAUGCAAAUUGGAUAGGUCGUUAAUCAUGUAAAAAUGUCACAAUUAUCAUAUCUUUACGAGAGGCCCUAAUGAAGGCACCCGUGCUGGGUGGGAGACGGGACAGACCCCCCCCACUCCACUCUGCAAAAGGAAACUCCAGCUGCCGCGAGGAAAGCUCGGCUCUGGGAAGGGGGGACACGGAGGAAGAGUUUGCAAAGGGUCUCGGGCAGUUUGGCACUCGCUUCCCCUUUGGGUCCCCUAGAUCCUUUUGGGAACAAAUAAGCAGGGUUGGCUCGCGGCCCGGGGCUCACCUGGAAGCGCCGCAUGUCCCGGGGGUUCCCGGCGUUCUUCAGGCAGUUCUGGUUGCAUUUGAGGAAGAACUUGAGGAAAAACCUAA
rnacentral:lncRNA from 1 species